ensembl:lncRNA
UUUUUUCUUGGAAAUCCUCUCCAUUAGCUUACUUGGAGAGCCCAAGUCCUUGGAAAAGAAAGCAGUUUUCAAAGGAGUCCUUUCAGGGAGUUGAUUUUGUUGUAGAUGGUACUUCCCUGACAUAAUAUUCUGCUCCUAUCUCAUUCCUGCUCUUCCAUCUAUGAGGAUGUGUGAGUAGCUUUUGUCCAGUGAAAAGGAACCUUUGUUUGAAGGAACUUCUGUGAAGAGUGCCACUACAGAGAAAGUCAGGCACUAGUGAUGCAGAGGGAUCUGGCAGUGCUGGAAGAUCUAUGGACUGGGACACACAGUGCAUGAGUCUAUUUGAAACUGUUUGAUAAGUUACUCUGCUCACAGAACAAUUUGCUAAACCUGCUGCAUAUAUACAUGUUUGUUUAACAGCUCAGCGCUCUGCUUUUACUGUUGUAAAUGGAUCGUUCCAUCCAGAAGAUGGCGCUGUCUGCAUUUACUUCCAAAUUACUUACCACAGAAAAAAAAAUUCUAUCCAAUUCAACCUUGAGUGUGGUAAGUUAUUGAGGGUACCUUUCUAAUAGAAGCUGUUAAUACAGCCUUGCUCCCGAGGCUUUCAAUUUACAAAUAAUUUUCAUAACAUUUCCACAUGAGAGCUUCUCUAGUCAUCUUAUAUUAAUAUAGCCUAGUAUGUUAAAGCAAUCUCACUUUUUGACCACUGGACCAUACAGAUUAGAUUAAAAAAAAAAAAAAAAAAAAAAAACCCUAACAUUUUAUUUAAUGUUGUAACUGCAAAGUUGACUUUCUAACAGGAAUAUCUAUAAAUUUCUCUGUCAUACUAAUUCUUUAUGGAAGAUGAGGGAUCUUUGCAAUAUAUAUUAUAUGUAACUCUGUAAAGAUGCAUAUGCAUGCAAGUAUUGUUUCUGAUAUAAUUUAUGAACUGUAAUAUUAAAACCAGCAUGAGAAAUCAUGAUUUUUAGUUCAGAAAUAAUGAUUUUUAGUUCAGAAAUAUUGCCUCAAAUUUCUUACAAACUUCACAUUGCAGUGUUAUGUUUCUGUAUUUCCAAUUGAUUUGAUAUUUCUGCAUAAUUAAAAGCAGAAUUUCCUGGCUUUGUGUUUCUUUUUAUCCUCUUUUGUAGGCGGAUGCUGAUUUAGUUUGAAAAACUUUUCAAAAUUAACACACUUUGUGAAAUUUUGCAGGUAAUUCACUUCUGUGCAGGAUCGCAGAACACAUGACAAGCUGGGUCGUAAACAUCCAUGGAAUUGCUGUUUACCUGUAGUCAGUAAUCACAACUUUCUGAUCAGCCUCUCAGGUACAGGUAUUAAAUCUUUACUGUUUAGUUGGCAGUUUUGAUAUAGCUGGUGAGGUUGCUUCAUUCAUGGGGUUUUGAUGAGAAAGCAGAAAUAUAUGGGAACAGUCAGAAAAUAUGAGGAAGAAACAUGUAGACAUGAAUAUAAUUUUUUUUUCCCCAAAUUUCUGGGAAUUUGGGAAUUUGAGCUGGAAUUUGUCUCACUGCAGCUUGUACCCAUUGUCCUUUUUUGUUGUUGUUGUUGUUGUUGUGGACCUCCUAUAAAAUGCUAGAUUCAGCUUCUCUACAACCACACAUUGAAUAGUUGAAGAGAGCAAUAAGAUCUUCCAUUAACCUUCCCUUCUCUAGGCCAAACAGUCCCAGCAAUCUCAAGGAUUACUUACAUGUCUUAUGUUGUGUACCAUUAAUCAUCUUGGUGAUUGCCAUCAAAUGAAAUGAGCAAAUGAAAUGUGAACCUCCACGUCUCUCAUAUUGCUCUAGUGUUAUAAUUCUGCAAUAUAAAAUUUACUUUUAAUAUAUGUAUGAUAUAUAGCUCUAUACUGUGCGCACAUUCUCUUACUGUAUUGACCAUAGCACUGUUUUCUUGAACUUUUUGAGAGUUAAAAUAAAAAUCCAGAGCAAUAUUACUUC